rnacentral:rRNA from 1 species
AGUGAACGCUGGCGGUAGGCCUAACACAUGCAAGUCGAACGGCAGCACAGUAAGAGCUUGCUCUUACGGGUGGCGAGUGGCGGACGGGUGAGGAAUACAUCGGAAUCUACUUUUUCGUGGGGGAUAACGUAGGGAAACUUACGCUAAUACCGCAUACGACCUACGGGUGAAAGCAGGGGAUCUUCGGACCUUGCGCGAUUGAAUGAGCCGAUGUCGGAUUAGCUAGUUGGCGGGGUAAAGGCCCACCAAGGCGACGAUCCGUAGCUGGUCUGAGAGGAUGAUCGGCCACACUGGAACUGAGACACGGUCCAGACUCCUACGGGAGGCAGCAGUGGGGAAUAUUGGACAAUGGGCGCAAGCCUGAUGCAGCCAUACCGCGUGGGUGAAGAAGGCCUUCGGGUUGUAAAGCCCUUUUGUUGGGAAAGAAAAGCAGUAGGUUAAUACCCCGCUGUUCUGACGGUACCCAAAGAAUAAGCACCGGCUAACUUCGUG